GGGGUACAACCCCAUCCCUAUUUUGUAUUUUAUUUAUAGACUGGGUCUCACUGAGUUGCUUAGCUGGCUUUGAACUCGUGAUUCUCCUGUCUCAGCCUCCCAGCUGCUAGGAUUACAGGCAUGUGCCCCUGCACCCAGUGGGAGAAGACUCUUAAUGGAGGACAUAAAAGUAGUGAGGAAAUUGCUAUUGGAGGUUGGAGAAAAGGUGUUAUGGAUGGUAAAAUGUUCGGUUGCACUUGUGUGUAGUAAAACACAUGAUAAAAAAUGUACCUAAUGAACCUGCAGUUCUGGCAAAGGAGAUGUUCAGGCUCACUGUUCAAAGUGUCAGUUGGAUUGUUUUAGUUAUGUGAAUGGUGCAUGAGCAAUGUAUAACGGUAUCACUAGAGAUGUGUUUAAAAAGGAAAUAUUCAGUCUUUCAAGUUGGAUGUAGAUACAAGGCCUAGAAGGCUCUCUUUAGCCAGCAAGAGUCUCAAAGUAGGAAGUGACUUCAGGGGCCACCUAUACAAGGUGACCACAAGGUAAAGAUCCAGUCAAUGCUGUGAUAGAUACUCCUUUUCAGCUAGACAAAAGGGUUUCUAAGAAUCUGAAGGACUAUGUCUUACAGUAAUACCCAAAGUAGAGAUGUUUGCUUUUGAAAAAAUUAUAGCUGUUGCUUUCUGGGCAAGGAGGGAACCCCAGUAAGAAUAAUACAAAACUUACAAAAUUUGAAAGAGAAUCUAUGGAUAAAAGUGCCACCAGUGUGGACUAAAGAGACAGUUAAAAGUGAGCAAAAGCUUUUGGUCUCCUACUUUCUAUGGGUAGGAAGCAGAAAAGGCAGUUUCUUAUAGAAAAAAAUAAAAUUGACCCAAAGGUCCUAGCCUGAACCCCAGAGAGUGAAGCCAAGAACUAAUGAGUACCCACACGAAGAGAAGCUCCAAGCCAUUUCAGCUCGUCCCCCUGAGGUGCCGGACAUGUGGGUAGAGUUUUCUUGAACAUUCCAGACUCUGCAAAACUCAUAGCUGGUGGACCACAUGUCUAUCUUUAACUGAUAUCACUGGAGAGCUGAAGAACUACUGGAUUCUGCCCCCAACCUCG
rnacentral:lncRNA from 1 species